UGGUAAAGUGCUAGGCUUAGGACAAAGGU
rnacentral:piRNA from 1 species